GAUUCCCAACACCUAAGCUCAUUGUGGAGUGAGGUUUCAGAAAUAAUUUACACAGAUCACAGGCUCUUUACUAUAUGCUCUAAAGGCAGAAUCUCAGUGUGUUUUGCAUAAAAUGUCUCUGAAACCUCACAAUUGGGAUCUCAAUAUUCUGUGAAAGAUAAAUUUCCUUUGAGCUUGGAAGAAUUAGGGAUGGGGUAUCCUUUGGAUUCAAAUUAGCAUAAUUCACACACACACACACACACACACACACACACACAGUGUUAGCAGGUGCAGUGCUUUCAGUACCUGAGAUUUUAGCCCAGGAUUCAUUCUUGGCAUGCACUUUGCAAGAAUGGGAAGGAGAACUAGACUGAGAAUCCAGGCAUCAUUUCAAGAUGGGAAACCAGCCAAGCGGUACAAUGACAUAUGCUUCGUAGUACAGAGAUGAGUCUCCAGACUUAGCCAGGCAGAGACUACUGAUUUGAUUGCAGAACAGAAGUUAUUUUUAUGAAAAUAGGGAGCUUCUCGAAUUUGGACUUUUUUUUUAUCAUUUCAUUUUUGUUUUCUACUGCCACAGGAUCAGAAACUAUUUUCUUGGUAACAAAUCUCCCCUAACCGGUGCAUUUCUUUUCACAAAAGAUGAAUCGGUGUCUUCACUUAGAACAUGGGAGAAUGUUGAGUUUGUAGUGCAGAUUAGACCCUAAAGAGAAAAGUAAGACUCAGUGUUUGUUUUGAGCCCCUAUCUCAGCUCUGAGAAAGAGAAACCAAGGUGGCUCCAUUCAUCUCUGGGCCAAAGAAAAUGCAACUGUGUGAGUCCUGAAUACCAGGAAUUCCCAUCACAGUGCAGCAGGAGGCAGAGGACAGGCUAUGUUCUUGCUUUUAGAACUUCUUUUUCUACCUAUUCAUUAUUACUCCAAAUGGAGUAGGACUUCUGCAGAAGAGAAAGCCUCCAAAAGAGCAUCAUGUGCGUGAAUAUGGAUUCUUCACUACUAAGGCCAGUGGGUUCAAAAGAGCUGAUUCAUUAACAAACACUCCCUGGGCACCAGCUCUGUGCCAGGUACUGUUCUGGGUACUGAUGAUAAGGACAUGAAGAAAAACAGAGCCUUUGCCUUUGAAAGCUUAGAAAUUAGAAUAGGGAGAAAGAAAACCAAACAGAUAAGUGCUUAGCAUAUCAGGGGGCGUCACUUGUCAUGAAGACAAAUAGUGCAGAAGAAGGUCAGGCAAGGGGCGAGAUUUCAAGAGAAUGUACAGAAAUGUUUUAAACAUUUUUUUUUUUUUGCUUUUUGAGAUUUCACACAGGUAUUCAAUGAAUCUUGGUUGAAUCCCAACUUAUCCCUUCCAGUUAUUCCCAGAACUCCCCAAGUUUAUGGCAUUCUUUAAAAUCUUUUAAAUUUUCAUUAAUUUUAAUCAAAUAAAUCCAGUUAGUGUUUUCCAUGUACACAUGGGUGGAGGGUCUUCCAGCAGGGAAUAGGCAACCUUCCAGUGGCUACUAUCCAAAGAAAAUUGACACCCACUGCCCAAGUAUUCAUCAUAUGCUAAUAGCUCCUUAGCUACAGAUGUGACCUUGGUAGACCAUCUUCCAUCCAGGGUGGAAUUUUUAACUGGCUCGAUCAUGUGUAUGUCUUGUGAGGGACCCACUCCUGGAGUUAGUGCAUGUGUGCCACAGCCAUGUCAUGUCUGGAAGAUGGCCUUUCACAGCACCUUCACCAUCACCCUGUUCUUAUAAUCUUUCCACCCACUCUUCCAUGAUGGCCCCUGGGUCUUGGUAGGAGUUAGACUCAUACAAAUAUCUCAGUCUCUUAUUCUCAACUUUUGAGAAGUUAUUCAUCUUUGCCUUUACUGUUGCCCACUGCAAAAAGAAAUCUAUGGCCAAAGUUGAGAGACACCCCCAUCUGUAGGUAUAAGCACAGUUAUUUAGAAGGAAGUUUGAUGACAUGACUAUUUCACAAAACAAUGACAGUAGAUUCCUCCCUAGGGUCUAUGAGCUCCUUAAUCAUGAGUUUUAACUAUAUUAACAGUACCAGAUAUGAAUUCCAUCCUGUGGAGCAAGCCUCAGAUCUCAUCAAGAGAAUGAUUGUUUAUCCCUAUAAACAGUCUUGCUACAUUGCUCCAAUGAGCACAUCUUACCUCAUAGGUCAAUGUUAUAAUAUGUAGGGGCCAACACUAUAUAAGACCACUGAUGUCUUCUCUACUCCAGCACUCUGCCUAGUACCUUCCAGCACUAGGAAAGCUACCCAGCAAGGAGAGAGUUUCUUUAUCAAUUCAAGGUUGACUUCUCUGUGCCCUAUAACCAAAAUGUGUAAUGUUUAUAGCAACAGGAUCUUGCCAUCUACUAGGCAACCAAGAGCAAUAUCGAUAGCAUAUAUUGUUUUGGGUGCUUCUGGGGACUUCUUGACUAAUAAGUCAUAUGUAGGUAACCUGUGGUUAAUACUGAGAUUUUCAUAUAAUAACCCUUGUCUUCUGGAAGCAGCAUUGUUCAUGCACUCAGGAUAUCUCUAUUCAAAUGCCUUUUUAAAUGGUAUUAGCUUACAAACUCAUAGGUUUCUAUUAAGCUUCUUCAUAUAUCGUUAAUUUUGGUUAACCUUCCUCCCACUCCCUCCUUUCUCCUACCUCUCUGCCCCCACUCCAUCCCCAUCUAAUGUUUUAUCCCCUAGGCUUUCCCUGUUCUCUCAUAACACAUGUGUUCUAUUAUCCUCUCUUAUUAUAAUUUUUACUUGUGUUGUAAUAUCAUGGAUUUCCAUACAGUCUUUUUUAUAAACAUCUUGGUUAACCCUUCCCCUGUCCUCUUGUUUCUCCAUCCCCAUCAUCCCACUAGGCAGACCUUUCUGUCUCUAUUAUUAUUCUUCUAUACUUUCAUUUUACUUACAUCCUGCAAUUUCCAUUUCCCUUAAUGCUCCACCACCAAUGGCUCUAUUCUAGUUUGUUGGCAUUCACUUACACUCCAGGUAAAAACACACAAAAGAUUCUAAGCUAAAAUCUACAUAUGAGAAAGACCAUGUGGUGUUUGAAGUGGCUUGAACUGCAAGGAUGGGUGGAAGUGGUGAGAAAUAGCAGGCAAGUCCAUCAUGACAUUCAAUUUCCCUUACAAAUAGAGCUUCCAAUCUGUGGCUAUUCAUUAGAAUAGUUGGCUUUAGUUCUUGAGUGCCACUUAAACUUAUUAAUGCUGAGCAAGCCUUUCAUCAGUAAAAUGUAUGUGGUGGUAAAGUCUCUUUAAUGGGUUGCUAAGAGUAAAGCACUUAUUUUGACAUUUUUAAUUUAUUAAGUUAAAGUUAGAAAACAUCUUAUUGCCAGGCUAGGGAGAUUGUUUACUGCUUAAGCCCUGGCCAAGUAUGAUCCUUUAAAAUCUCACAUGGCUACCCAUCUGGAAUUCCAACUUCAAAGAACAAAGAUGGGGGUCCCCAGAGUAAGUUGGAUAGCCAGAUUAAUCAUAUUAGCUAGCUCCAGGUUUGACCAGGUCACCCUGCUUUAAUAAAAAAAGAUAGAAGAGUAGUUGAAGGUCAUUCCUAACAUCAACCUUUGGCUUCUAUAUGCAAGCACACACCAUGUGCACCUACCUAGAUGUGUAGCGAUACACACACAC
rnacentral:lncRNA from 1 species